UUAAGCGACUAAGCGUACACGGUGGAUGCCCUGGCAGUCAGAGGCGAUGAAGGACGUGCUAAUCUGCGAUAAGCGUCGGUAAGGUGAUAUGAACCGUUAUAACCGGCGAUUUCCGAAUGGGGAAACCCAGUGUGUUUCGACACACUAUCAUUAACUGAAUCCAUAGGUUAAUGAGGCGAACCGGGGGAACUGAAACAUCUAAGUACCCCGAGGAAAAGAAAUCAACCGAGAUUCCCCCAGUAGCGGCGAGCGAACGGGGAGCAGCCCAGAGCCUGAAUCAGUGUGUGUGUUAGUGGAAGCGUCUGGAAAGGCGCGCGAUACAGGGUGACAGCCCCGUACACAAAAAUGCACAUACUGUGAGCUCGAUGAGUAGGGCGGGACACGUGGUAUCCUGUCUGAAUAUGGGGGGACCAUCCUCCAAGGCUAAAUACUCCUGACUGACCGAUAGUGAACCAGUACCGUGAGGGAAAGGCGAAAAGAACCCCGGCGAGGGGAGUGAAAAAGAACCUGAAACCGUGUACGUACAAGCAGUGGGAGCACGCUUCGGCGUGUGACUGCGUACCUUUUGUAUAAUGGGUCAGCGACUUAUAUUCUGUAGCAAGGUUAACCGAAUAGGGGAGCCGAAGGGAAACCGAGUCUUAACUGGGCGUUAAGUUGCAGGGUAUAGACCCGAAACCCGGUGAUCUAGCCAUGGGCAGGUUGAAGGUUGGGUAACACUAACUGGAGGACCGAACCGACUAAUGUUGAAAAAUUAGCGGAUGACUUGUGGCUGGGGGUGAAAGGCCAAUCAAACCGGGAGAUAGCUGGUUCUCCCCGAAAGCUAUUUAGGUAGCGCCUCGUGAAUUCAUCUCCGGGGGUAGAGCACUGUUUCGGCAAGGGGGUCAUCCCGACUUACCAACCCGAUGCAAACUGCGAAUACCGGAGAAUGUUAUCACGGGAGACACACGGCGGGUGCUAACGUCCGUCGUGAAGAGGGAAACAACCCAGACCGCCAGCUAAGGUCCCAAAGUCAUGGUUAAGUGGGAAACGAUGUGGGAAGGCCCAGACAGCCAGGAUGUUGGCUUAGAAGCAGCCAUCAUUUAAAGAAAGCGUAAUAGCUCACUGGUCGAGUCGGCCUGCGCGGAAGAUGUAACGGGGCUAAACCAUGCACCGAAGCUGCGGCAGCGACACUAUGUGUUGUUGGGUAGGGGAGCGUUCUGUAAGCCUGUGAAGGUGUGCUGUGAGGCAUGCUGGAGGUAUCAGAAGUGCGAAUGCUGACAUAAGUAACGAUAAAGCGGGUGAAAAGCCCGCUCGCCGGAAGACCAAGGGUUCCUGUCCAACGUUAAUCGGGGCAGGGUGAGUCGACCCCUAAGGCGAGGCCGAAAGGCGUAGUCGAUGGGAAACAGGUUAAUAUUCCUGUACUUGGUGUUACUGCGAAGGGGGGACGGAGAAGGCUAUGUUGGCCGGGCGACGGUUGUCCCGGUUUAAGCGUGUAGGCUGGUUUUCCAGGCAAAUCCGGAAAAUCAAGGCUGAGGCGUGAUGACGAGGCACUACGGUGCUGAAGCAACAAAUGCCCUGCUUCCAGGAAAAGCCUCUAAGCAUCAGGUAACAUUAAAUCGUACCCCAAACCGACACAGGUGGUCAGGUAGAGAAUACCAAGGCGCUUGAGAGAACUCGGGUGAAGGAACUAGGCAAAAUGGUGCCGUAACUUCGGGAGAAGGCACGCUGAUAUGUAGGUGAAGUCCCUCGCGGAUGGAGCUGAAAUCAGUCGAAGAUACCAGCUGGCUGCAACUGUUUAUUAAAAACACAGCACUGUGCAAACACGAAAGUGGACGUAUACGGUGUGACGCCUGCCCGGUGCCGGAAGGUUAAUUGAUGGGGUUAGCGGUAACGCGAAGCUCUUGAUCGAAGCCCCGGUAAACGGCGGCCGUAACUAUAACGGUCCUAAGGUAGCGAAAUUCCUUGUCGGGUAAGUUCCGACCUGCACGAAUGGCGUAAUGAUGGCCAGGCUGUCUCCACCCGAGACUCAGUGAAAUUGAACUCGCUGUGAAGAUGCAGUGUACCCGCGGCAAGACGGAAAGACCCCGUGAACCUUUACUAUAGCUUGACACUGAACAUUGAGCCUUGAUGUGUAGGAUAGGUGGGAGGCUUUGAAGUGUGGACGCCAGUCUGCAUGGAGCCGACCUUGAAAUACCACCCUUUAAUGUUUGAUGUUCUAACGUUGACCCGUAAUCCGGGUU
rnacentral:rRNA from 1 species